rnacentral:rRNA from 1 species
GGAUCAGUAGGUUGGUCGUGCCACCGGUACGUACUGGUCUCACUGAUUCCUCCUUCCUGAAGAACCGUAAUGCCAUUAAUUUGGUGUUGCGGGGAAACAGGACUGCUACUUUGAAAAAAUUAGAGUGUUUAAAGCAAGCUAACGCUUGAAUACAUUAGCAUGGAAUAAUGUAAUAGGACGAUCGAUCCUAUUUUGUUGGUUUCUAGGAUUGACGUA